GCCUGGCUGGCUUAGUCAGUAGAGCAUGCGACUCUCGAUCUUAGGUUUGUGAGUUCAAGCCCCAUGUUGGGUG
rnacentral:tRNA from 1 species